UAUUGAUACACUAAGUGAAGUGGCUAGUAAAAAACUAGUCCAAGUUUAGUCCGAACUUAAGGUUCCAACUUGAUGACUUGGGUCCCAAGACAAGUCAUGGACCCAUCACUUGGAGCAUGGCUAGGAAGCUCCAACAAGAUUUGGAAGAGUUAAACCCAAGAGGACAAGCAUUAUUCACACGCUUUGAAUAGAAGCCAGGAGCGCAGCCAGAAGGAUCAACAAGAGACAUACCAACCCAUGGAGAAGGGUAGCAAACUUGGAGCUUCACCAUUCCGUUGGCGUCUGAGCGCCCUGCCUGCUGCCGCUCGAGCGCACGACGUCUAGAUCCAGUAAACCAAGACAUCCUGACCGAGUCGCGCUGGUUGCCAUUCUCUUGUCCCGCUCAAGCACCAACUAUGCAGAUUUCAUAUUUUUGCAUGUGUAUUGUGCGUUCUUCUAGAUCUUCAACACCCACUUCAUGCUUGUCCAUGGGGCAUUAGAUUCACACUUGUAAGAAUGAUUUAGCACCGUAGAUGUAGAGAAUAGGAGGGGAAUUUCUCCUAUAAAUUCCCCCUUGCUAAGCCUUGUACGUCACUUUUGUUGAUAUAUGAGUUUUACUCUGCUGAAGUAUUCCCAGCCCAUAACUCUGUCUGAAAGUCACUCUAAAUUAAGCUUUCAUCCUCCUCCUAGCUUCCUUCUAGUGCAGGUUGCUUGAGCUAGAGAUCUCAUCCUCCAUACAACUCUUCCUCCACCAUCUACAACCACUGUUUCACAUCUGCACAUUGCUGCCAAACCCCAAGCAAUUUCUUCCGCUGCAUUUGGUUCGAGUUCUCGUAUGCAGCAACUCAUCAUGUUGGUAUCAGAGCCAGAACUAUUCCAGGUUGUCCUACUACACUUGUAGCAUCUUAGGUAGAGGAUUGGAGCAAGGAAAGAUCAACAUUGGAGUUGAUUUCUGGAGCAACAGAAUCACAAUUUUGGGCUGUACAAAAUCUGGUUGCUACAAAUAGCAGAGUGUUUCACUACAGCUGUGAGAUUUGCGUGAUUCAAAUUCAUUUGAGAGAAGCCAAAGCUGCCACACAUCAUUUACUUUCCAUUUAUUUGUUGUUCAAAUUCAUUUAUUUUGCAAAAUACUUGUAAUUGGCCAUUAAGCAAGUCAUUUGGAAGAAUUCACAAGUGUUCAGUUCUUCCAUCACUUGCCAACUUUGCUUUUAUUUAUUCAUUCUAAAAUUGGUAGAUA